GACUCACACCUCUAUUUACUAGGUUUUAUUGGGAAUGUGAGGUGAAAUCUUUUCCCCUGGGAACAGGAAGUUUUCAGUGUUUCUUAGAAGAGGACGUGGGGACCUGAUAGCAACACACAUGUUGUUGAUGGGCGGACUUUCUCUAUCAGGGAGGCUCAGCUGGAGCAACAGAGCAGCAUUUCUGGAGGAGGGCAUAUCAGUUUUGACACCUGUUUUCAGAAUCAUCCACAGAAGCUGCAAGAAGCAAGAGGAUUGGGCAAAGGUCAAGAGGCCAUUUGUCAAACAGCACAAGACAUGUAACAGGAUAUGCACACUACCCUGGCUAUCUCUGCAGACAGGAAGAGAGCUGCCAAGUAGGGCUGGAAAGAGACACUCGGCAGGUAGAUCUUGCCGUAACAAGGAGAAGAAACUCAUGGAUUUCACCUAAGACCAGAGAAGGGAACAUUCCCAAGAGACUUGGAGGUUCCAUCUCUCAAGCAACCUGAAAUUAGCAGGGAUUUCUCCUGCGGCUUUGCCAUGAUGUGGGGAAAAGGGAAGUGGUUUUGACGCAAGGGACAGAGGGAGUGUUGGCGGUGGCAGGGGGAGCAGGGGCAGCAGCUCACUUACGGGUUAAAACCACCCUGGAGAGGCCCAGCUCUCUGAAGUUCGACAUCAGAAUAUACAUUCGAGUAAGGGUGGUCAGUUAUUCAAUUUUUUGAGACUCACUUUCCUUGUCUUUAUACAUGAGGUUUAACAAAAUUGUCAAGAAGGUGACAGAAAACAGCAGAGGAAAAAGCUGCAGUAUAGUGGAUACUCCAUAAAUAUUGGUUCCCUUGGCUAUAUUCGUCCCCUCUUUUUCCCAAGUGUAGAGCAACAUGGAUUAAAAUUUAUUUUGUAUUUCUAGAUCUCCAGCAAAUGUAUUUAGAACUGUUCUAUUAAAUUUUCCUGGAAAAUAAAGCAUCCCUUGCAUUGAGGCUAUCUAGGUAAUCUAUUUAACAGCAUCUAAGUCUAGAAAUUCAGAAACGUCUAUAUGUGCGCCUCUCUCUGUAAUGUCCUGAUUCUUUUUUUUUUUCUCAUCCACUUGCCCAUCAGUGGUUCAGAUAUUCUCUCUAUAUUUGUGUUUGCAAAGUUCUAUUCCUGAAUGGAAUUUUCUCCCAGGAAUUCCCGACCGAGGCCAUCUGCUCUGCAGGCAGAAAGUGAAGCGACCGCAGCCUGAUGCAGCCAGGAAGGCAGAGGCUGAGAGGAGGGAGUGUGGCAUCAGAACAGAGUCCGCCGGGGCUCUGGCUUCCUCCUCCGGGAUCAAGGGAAAUGUGCGAAGCACAGUGCAGAAUCCCGGGCGGCUCAUGCCCACUCACUUGCUGGGGGAACAGAUAAAACACGAGUGAGGGGGAGAUUUUGUGGGCUGACACUCCCCAGAAAUGCUGUGUGCACAUGGGCGUGGUGAUUGAUACUUAGCGCUUUGAAGCAAACACCGUGAGACUACUCAGCAUUGGGAGAAGCUGUCCACGCGGACGCCCAGGAAGCAGCCCGGAGGAUAGGGUGCCCCAGCAGUACUGCAGAAUCCCAACUACUGACGAGAAUGAGUAAAAGAAUGCACAGAUUGGACAUGUAAAUAAACAGGUUAAAUACCCUGGCAGCUCUUGAAAACAAACCCCUUUUUCUGAAUCUGCUCAGAAACCUCCGUUCUCAUGGUCACUCGGCAACAUGCUGCGGAGAAGAAGACUCGGCCUCGGAACAGCCAUGCCCGGGUUCGAUCCCAGUCCUAGCUUGUGGCAGCCGGGUGACUGGGCAUGAUUCCUGGGCUUCAGUCCUAAUCUGUAAAACGUAGGGGCUGAAGGAGGAAGCGGGAUGGAGUGGAGACCAUUAGAAUUAAUGUAUGAGGCCAGGCGCAGUGGCUCACACCUGUAAUCCCAGCACUUUGGGAGGCCAAGACAGGCAGAUCAGGAGGUCAGGAGAUCGAGACCAUCCUGGCUAACAUGGUGAAACCCCAUCUCUACUAAAAAUACAAAAAAUUAUCCAGGCGUGGUGGCACGUGCCUGUAGUCCCAGCUACUCGGGAGGCUGAGGCAGGAGAAUUGUUUGAAUAUGGGGGGCCAAGGUUGCAGUGAGCCAAGAUCGUGCCACUGCACUCCAGCCGGGGCAACAGAGAGAGACUCCAUCUCAAAAUAAUAAUAAUAAUAAUAAUAAUAAUAAUAAUAAUAAUAAUAAUAAAUGUAUAAAAAGUGAAGUCCCUG
rnacentral:lncRNA from 1 species